ACUACUAUGAUGACAAUAAGUCUCUGAGGAUGGUGAGCAACUCAUAAAAAUGACAAUCUGAGGU
rnacentral:snoRNA from 1 species